GAUGAACGCUGGCGGCGUGCCUAAUACAUGCAAGUCGAGCGAACAGACGAGUAGCUUGCUCCUCUGACGUUAGCGGCGGACGGGGGAGUAACACGUGGAUAACCUACCUAUAAGACUUGGAUAACUUCGGGAAACCGGAGCUCAUACCGGAUAAUAUCUUGAACCGCAUGGUUCCAUAGUUAAAGACGGUUUUGCUGUCACUUAUAGAUGGAUCCGCGGCGCAUUAGCUAGUUGGUAAGGUAACGGCUUACCAAGGCAACGAUGCGUAGCCGACCUGAGGGGGGGAUCGGCCACACUGGAGGGGAGACACGGUGCAGACUCCUACGGGAGGCAGCAGUAGGGAAGCUUACGCAAUGGGCGAAGGCAUGACGGAGCAACGCCGCGUGAGGGAUGAAGGUCUUCGGAUCGUAGAACUCUGUUAUUAGGGAAGAACAAAGGUGGAAGUAACUGUGCACGUCUUGACGGUACCUAAUCAGAAAGCCACGGCUAACUACGUG
rnacentral:rRNA from 1 species